CUACGUGCCAGCAGCCGCGGUAAUACGUAGGUGGCAAGCGUUGUCCGGAAUUAUUGGGCGUAAAGCGCGCGCAGGCGGAUUGGUCAGUCUGUCUUAAAAGUUCGGGGCUUAACCCCGUGAUGGGAUGGAAACUGCCAAUCUAGAGUAUCGGAGAGGAAAGUGGAAUUCCUAGUGUAGCGGUGAAAUGCGUAGAUAUUAGGAAGAACACCAGUGGCGAAGACGACUUUCUGGACGAAAACUGACGCUGAGGCGCGAAAGCCAGGGGAGCGAACGGGAUUAGAUACCCCGGUAGUCCUGGCCGUAAACGAUGGGUACUAGGUGUAGGAGGUAUCGACCCCUUCUGUGCCGGAGUUAACGCAAUAAGUACCCCGCCUGGGGAGUACGACCGCAAGGUUGAAACUCAAAGGAAUUGACGGGGGCCCGCACAAGCGGUGGAGUAUGUGGUUUAAUUCGACGCAACGCGAAGAACCUUACCAGGUCUUGACAU
rnacentral:rRNA from 1 species